GGCGCUUUGGCGGAGUGGUUAACGCGAUAGACUAGAAAUCUAUUUCUUUCGGGAGCAAGAGUUCGAAUCUCUUAGGCGUCG
rnacentral:tRNA from 1 species